GGAGCACUGUAAAGAUAUUCAGGAACUGUUCUACCACUAUCAGGUACAAAAUCCAAGUCCUUGCUAAGGAUGUAAACUACUUCGUUUCUGACUGUCUUCAGGUGCACAUGAUACAGAUUCUUCAAAGACCUCUGCUUAUAAAUCAGAUACAACUCAUCUGGGCCUGCUGAUUUAUUAGAGUUCCUGCUUUUGCCAGCACAAUGCUAAUGUACUUCCAUGAAGACAUGUAGCUUUUUUGGAAAGCCACAUCCAUAUUAAGGUCGCUGCUGCCACCAAGUGGUUUUUUAAUCUCAAAUCUGUAAUUUCUUCUGUCUGGAUUCAGUAAUGCCUCCCUCUUUUUGGAAUCCUACCUGCAAAAUUGCAUUCAUUUCUAAGAAUUUAAAGACUGUGCCUGUAAUGUUGUCAGUCCAUCUCUUCUGCCAGAGGAUUCCUGGACUAUCACAGGAGUCAUAGCUGCCUGUUAGUACAUGGUUCUAAUCCUGAAGUUCCUUCUAGCACUGACAAUAGGAUUUCAAUAAAAAGGUGACAAUUCUUACUCCAGGCUACUAUUAUGCAUUUAAAUGAAAAUUCAUUCUUAAUCAUCCUUUUAAGAUCUGGAAAAUACUUUUUGGCUAGAAUUACUCCAAUAAAUACACCCAACAUACAAAAUUAAUCCAUCAUAUACAUAAAUGGAUAAAUAUACUAAAAAAACAGGCAAAUGCUCUGGAAAUAAUACAACAACUUGAAAACAUCAGUUAAUAGGAGGAAAAAAAUCACUUCUGUUCUUCAAACAAGUGAAGUCCUUCAUACACAAGCUACAAUCUAUCAAGAAUGAAAGCCUACCAAAAUAAUUAUGAUAGUCAUAUAUUAGUUGGUAAACAAAACAUUCCUAGGAUAUGUGCCCUUAUUAUGUGAUAUAAAAUACUCUGCAACAAUCAUCUGGACAUUUUGAUUCAUGAAAUAUGCCAUGUAUGGAUAAAGGUACAUUUCUAAAAGUGUGCAGAGAAUCUGCAGAGUUUGUUUCCUAUUCCUAUUUGCAAAUGACACCAUCUCACUUGGUUUACAAAGGAAAGCAUCUAUAGCAACAACAGAUUUUAACCCAUAGUAAGGUUAUUUUACUAGUGAAGUGUUCAGCAGAAAUUACCGAAUUAUUUCUUCAUCUGGUGCAGCAGAAGGUAUGUUAACUUGUACAGAGUAUUAGCCAUCCUUUCCUUCAGGGAGCUUUCUAAAAUGAGCUUGCAUUUAUUUGAAGUAUGACAGAAGGAGCCAGCAUAGCUAUUUUGUGUGUGUGUGUGUGUGUGUGUGUGUGUGUGUGUGUGUGUGUGUGUGUGUGUGUGUGAGAGAGGUAUUAAAUACAGCUAUAAAAAUUCUCUCUUCAGAGUGUCAAAUUUACACUACUGAAGUGGUUUAACGCUAAAGUUUUAGGGAAAGGUGCUGAAGAAAUUUCUAGGAAGAGAGGAGGUGGGUGGGUCAAAUUGCCUCAACUUAUUUUAAAAUUUACUUCUCACUUUACUUCCCAAACCAUUUUUUGUUUUUUUAAGUUUGACAAGCAAUGGAAGGGAACAAACUGACUGUAUGUUAUAUAGUUAGACUACCAACAUAUAGAUUUGUGGUUGCUUUACAUGUAAAAGAGUUCAUAUUAUUUCUGGGGGAAUUCUGCACAUCUGCAGACAUGCAGAAUUCUUCUGUGCCACAUAAUUUUGUAUUUUCCCGCAUAAAAUGCAUUUUGCCUAAGAAGUGCUGCAGUUCUGCCUUUUGCCCGCUUGAGGCCGCUGUGGCACCAGAACACCAGCUGCAUGAACGCAGAUGGCCGUUCUAGUGCCACAAUGGCCUCUGGUUGGGGGGCAAAAGGCAGAACUGCAGCACUUCUGGGGCAAAAUGCAUUUUCUGCAGGGGGCGGGGGGGAUUCUAUACCCAAUGCUGCAGAAUUGACCCAAGGAGUAGAAGUUCAUCAUAGCACCCUGUCCGCAGAGCCAGGUUCGGACAGAAUGGAGCACACAGG